UUAAGCGACUAAGCGUACACGGUGGAUGCCCUGGCAGUCAGAGGCGAUGAAGGACGUGCUAAUCUGCGAAAAGCGUCGGUAAGGUGAUAUGAACCGUUAUAACCGGCGAUGUCCGAAUGGGGAAACCCAGUGCAAUUCGUUGCACUAUCGUUAACUGAAUACAUAGGUUAACGAGGCGAACCGGGGGAACUGAAACAUCUAAGUACCCCGAGGAAAAGAAAUCAACCGAGAUUCCCCCAGUAGCGGCGAGCGAACGGGGAGCAGCCCAGAGUCUGAAUCAGCUUGUGUGUUAGUGGAACGGUCUGGAAAGUCCGACGGUACAGGGUGAUAGUCCCGUACACCAAAAUGCACAGGCUGUGAACUCGAAGAGUAGGGCGGGACACGUGGUAUCCUGUCUGAAUAUGGGGGGACCAUCCUCCAAGGCUAAAUACUCCUGACUGACCGAUAGUGAACCAGUACCGUGAGGGAAAGGCGAAAAGAACCCCGGCGAGGGGAGUGAAAAAGAACCUGAAACCGUGUACGUACAAGCAGUGGGAGCACCUUCGGGUGUGACUGCGUACCUUUUGUAUAAUGGGUCAGCGACUUAUAUUCUGUAGCAAGGUUAACCGUAUAGGGGAGCCGCAGGGAAACCGAGUCUUAACUGGGCGUUAAGUUGCAGGGUAUAGACCCGAAACCCGGUGAUCUAGCCAUGGGCAGGUUGAAGGUUGGGUAACACUAACUGGAGGACCGAACCGACUAAUGUUGAAAAAUUAGCGGAUGACUUGUGGCUGGGGGUGAAAGGCCAAUCAAACCGGGAGAUAGCUGGUUCUCCCCGAAAGCUAUUUAGGUAGCGCCUCGUGAACUCAUCUUCGGGGGUAGAGCACUGUUUCGGCUAGGGGGUCAUCCCGACUUACCAACCCGAUGCAAACUACGAAUACCGAAGAAUGUUAUCACGGGAGACACACGGCGGGUGCUAACGUCCGUCGUGAAGAGGGAAACAACCCAGACCGCCAGCUAAGGUCCCAAAGUCAUGGUUAAGUGGGAAACGAUGUGGGAAGGCACAGACAGCCAGGAUGUUGGCUUAGAAGCAGCCAUCAUUUAAAGAAAGCGUAAUAGCUCACUGGUCGAGUCGGCCUGCGCGGAAGAUGUAACGGGGCUAAACCAUGCACCGAAGCUGCGGCAGCGACACUAUGUGUUGUUGGGUAGGGGAGCGUUCUGUAAGCCUGCGAAGGUGACCUGUGAGGGUUGCUGGAGGUAUCAGAAGUGCGAAUGCUGACAUAAGUAACGAUAAAGCGGGUGAAAAGCCCGCUCGCCGGAAGACCAAGGGUUCCUGUCCAACGUUAAUCGGGGCAGGGUGAGUCGACCCCUAAGGCGAGGCCGAAAGGCGUAGUCGAUGGGAAACAGGUUAAUAUUCCUGUACUUGGUGUUACUGCGAAGGGGGGACGGAGAAGGCUAUGUUAGCCGGGCGACGGUUGUCCCGGUUUAAGCAUGUAGGCUGAUUAUCCAGGCAAAUCCGGAUAAUCAAGGCUGAGGUGUGAUGACGAGGCACUACGGUGCUGAAGUAACAAAUGCCCUGCUUCCAGGAAAAGCCUCUAAGCAUCAGGUAACAUCAAAUCGUACCCCAAACCGACACAGGUGGUCAGGUAGAGAAUACCAAGGCGCUUGAGAGAACUCGGGUGAAGGAACUAGGCAAAAUGGUGCCGUAACUUCGGGAGAAGGCACGCUGGUGUGUAGGUGAAGUCCCUGCGGAUGGAGCUGAGACCAGUCGAAGAUACCAGCUGGCUGCAACUGUUUAUUAAAAACACAGCACUGUGCAAACACGAAAGUGGACGUAUACGGUGUGACGCCUGCCCGGUGCCGGAAGGUUAAUUGAUGGGGUUAUCCGUAAGGAGAAGCUCUUGAUCGAAGCCCCGGUAAACGGCGGCCGUAACUAUAACGGUCCUAAGGUAGCGAAAUUCCUUGUCGGGUAAGUUCCGACCUGCACGAAUGGCGUAAUGAUGGCCAGGCUGUCUCCACCCGAGACUCAGUGAAAUUGAACUCGCUGUGAAGAUGCAGUGUACCCGCGGCAAGACGGAAAGACCCCGUGAACCUUUACUAUAGCUUGACACUGAACAUUGAGCCUUGAUGUGUAGGAUAGGUGGGAGGCUUUGAAGCGUGGACGCCAGUCUGCGUGGAGCCAACCUUGAAAUACCACCCUUUAAUGUUUGAUGUUCUAACGUUGGCCCCUGACCGGGGUUGCGGACAGUGUCUGGUGGGUAGUUUGACUGGGGCGGUCUCCUCCCAAAGCGUAACGGAGGAGCACGAAGGUUAGCUAAUCCUGGUCGGACAUCAGGAGGUUAGUGCAAUGGCAUAAGCUAGCUUGACUGCGAGCGUGACGGCGCGAGCAGGUGCGAAAGCAGGUCAUAGUGAUCCGGUGGUUCUGAAUGGAAGGGCCAUCGCUCAACGGAUAAAAGGUACUCCGGGGAUAACAGGCUGAUACCGCCCAAGAGUUCAUAUCGACGGCGGUGUUUGGCACCUCGAUGUCGGCUCAUCACAUCCUGGGGCUGAAGUAGGUCCCAAGGGUAUGGCUGUUCGCCAUUUAAAGUGGUACGCGAGCUGGGUUUAGAACGUCGUGAGACAGUUCGGUCCCUAUCUGCCGUGGGCGCUGGAGAAUUGAGGGGGGCUGCUCCUAGUACGAGAGGACCGGAGUGGACGCAUCACUGGUGUUCGGGUUGUCAUGCCAAUGGCACUGCCCGGUAGCUAAAUGCGGAAGAGAUAAGUGCUGAAAGCAUCUAAGCACGAAACUUGCCCCGAGAUGAGUUCUCCCUGAGACUUUAAGUCUCCUGAAGGAACGUUGAAGACGACGACGUUGAUAGGCCGGGUGUGUAAGCGCAGCGAUGCGUUGAGCUAACCGGUACUAAUGAACCGUGAGGCUUAACCUU
rnacentral:rRNA from 1 species